rnacentral:lncRNA from 1 species
GGUAGAUAGGUGGACGUCACUUUUACAGCGCGCUAAAAUUGUGGAAAUAACUGCUCCGUACAAUAGUUAGCUAAUUCAUUUUCCUGGUGUAAGAAGCUGAAUUAAACCCUUUAAGGCAGCGUUUAGGAUGAUUUAGUAUUGCCCGCAGUCAGGGUGAUAUUGAAGGAGCCCCAGAAGAGACUAAAAAAUAUUGAACGCUCAAGCAAGCAAAUAAAUGGGCACACAGACCCAACACCUACCUCACAGCCUCAAUCAUCUGAAAAGGACUCAGGUUGCUGGGGCA